GCUGUCCUCAUUUUCCCAAGUGUUUAAUUGUUUAACCCUGACUGUUACUAACAAAAAACAUCACACAGGUGUCUUCCAACUCACUUGCAUGUCCCCAUAACACAAUCUGAAUACAAAAAAAUGGCAUAAUGUAGUGUGAAUGGUUUGCAAAGUAUCCAUCAGAAAGCUCUCUUGUGUGUCAACUGCCUGGGGUGCAGUUACAACCCGCAGAUGUACAUGAGAAUGGGCCCAUUAGCCUCCUGCAGUACAGCUGCCUCUCUGUUAUUGCUGUGAACCCCCCUGAGGGCCCUUUACACAAAUACAGCCAACCUCCUGUCAUUGCCUGCUGUAAACCAUUAACAUUAACAGAUUAUAUCAGAUAUAUAUUUUUUCUAUGUAUUUAUUUGUUUUAUUUUAGUUUCUGUGGCUGUAUCUUAUGGCAUACUAUAUUAGCUAUACAGUAUGUCUAAUUAUAAAACCAAAAAGCAUUAAUUUUAGAUGAGUAUUAUAUUUUAUUCAUUUAUUAUUGUAUAUGUGCUUCAGGUUUGAAUGAUUAACUGGUUUUAACUACCAGAUUAAUUGUUUAGACACAUUUAGCCACGAAAUUCCAUUUUGAAUGGUGUAUUCAGAGCGAAAAGGCUUCCUUUUUUUUUUUUUUGCAACACAUGCCAAUUUUGUAAUCAGUGUUGUUGCCAGGAAGCAAUAAAUUGUCCGUGUGCCUUUAAGAGAGGCUUCUGUGCUGUAGGCUAAAGUUGAUUUGGCUAAAUGGAUUAGCAGUUAUCCUGCAAUCUUACAGCCUAAAUACGCACUAACAUUGAGAGAAAGAAGAGGGGCCCUGAUUGAAGGCACAGCAGCACAAAAUGCCCUGCUUCAUUCUGAGGGCUUAAGACUAUGAGUGAUCAUCAGGAUCAGGCUGAAGAUGUCGGCCUCUUAACACCUCAUGAUCAGUCAGAGCCCUCAAAGGAUGAUGACAUGCAUUUCAGAUGCAUUUUGGCUGUUAAUCAGCCUGCCUAUGCAGAACCUCAGCCAAGGGCAUACAGACACCCUGCCAGUCUGGUAACUCUCCACCUCCGCAGGCAGGGCAAGAUGAGCCCACAACCGUGACAUGCUGCAGUCACCCUACGCCAGAGCCCAGCAUAAUAAGAGUGUGUGACUCAUGUCUGGAUAGCACAAAACAGUAUAUCUUUCUAUUUAUAUUUUGCUGUCAUUUUUUUUUUUUUUUUGCUUGAAUAAGAAAGAGAAACUUUUUAAUUUAUUUAAGGUACUUUAAUGCUGCUGAAUGAAUGUUUAUUAAUGAGACACAGACUGUCUGUAUAUGCAAUGAUACCAGAUACCAAAGCCAAGCCUAUUAAAAAAAUAAAAUUCUGAAAAUGUACUUUACA
ensembl:lncRNA